AUUCAUAUAGAUCAUGUAUAGAUCGUAACACUGAAGAUGUUAAAGAGGUUAUUUUUAACCUAUGAAUA
rnacentral:tRNA from 1 species